UACGUAGGGUGCGAGCGUUAAUCGGAAUUACUGGGCGUAAAGCGUGCGCAGGCGGUGAUGUAAGACCGAUGUGAAAUCCCCGGGCUUAACCUGGGAACUGCAUUGGUGACUGCAUUGCUGGAGUAUGGCAGAGGGGGGUAGAAUUCCACGUGUAGCAGUGAAAUGCGUAGAGAUGUGGAGGAAUACCGAUGGCGAAGGCAGCCCCCUGGGCCAAUACUGACGCUCAUGCACGAAAGCGUGGGGAGCAAACAGG
rnacentral:rRNA from 1 species